UACAGAGGUCUCAAGCGUUGUUCGGAUUCAUUGGGCGUAAAGGGUGCGUAGGUGGCGUCGUAAGUCGGGUGUGAAAUUUCGGAGCUUAACUCCGAAACUGCAUUCGAUACUGCGGUGCUUGAGGACUGGAGAGGAGACUGGAAUUUACGGUGUAGCAGUGAAAUGCGUAGAGAUCGUAAGGAAGACCAGUGGCGAAGGCGGGGUCUCUGGACAGUUCCUGACACUGAGGCACGAAGGCCAGGGGAGCAAACGGG
rnacentral:rRNA from 1 species